rnacentral:rRNA from 1 species
UACAUAGGUCCCAAGCGUUGUUCGGAUUCACUGGGCGUAAAGGGUGCGUAGGCGGUCGGGUAAGUCUGAUGUGAAAUCUCCAAGCUCAACUUGGAAAUGGCAUCGGAUACUAUUCGGCUCGAGGAAUGGAGGGGAGACUGGAAUACUUGGUGUAGCAGUGAAAUGCGUAGAUAUCAAGUGGAACACCAGUGGCGAAGGCGAGUCUCUGGACAUUUCCUGACGCUGAGGCACGAAAGCCAGGGGAGCAAACGGG